CCUACGGGAGGCAGCAGUGGGGAAUUUUGGACAAUGGGCGCAAGCCUGAUCCAGCAAUGCCGCGUGAGUGAAGAAGGCCUUCGGGUUGUAAAGCUCUUUUGUCAGGGAAGAAACGGUGGGGGCUAAUAUCUCCCACUAAUGACGGUACCUGAAGAAUAAGCACCGGCUAACUACGUGCCAGCAGCCGCGGUAAUACGUAGGGUGCAAGCGUUAAUCGGAAUUACUGGGCGUAAAGCGUGCGCAGGCGGUUUUGUAAGUUUGUCGUGAAAUCCCCGGGCUCAACCUGGGAAUGGCGAUGAAGACUGCAAGGCUAGAAUCUGGCAGAGGGGGGUAGAAUUCCACGUGUAGCAGUGAAAUGCGUAGAGAUGUGGAGGAACACCGAUGGCGAAGGCAGCCCCCUGGGUCAAGAUUGACGCUCAUGCACGAAAGCGUGGGGAGCAAACAGGAUUAGAUACCCUGGUAGUCCACGCCCUAAACGAUGUCUACUAGUUGUCGGGUUUUAAUUAACUUGGUAACGCAGCUAACGCGUGAAGUAGACCGCCUGGGGAAGUCGGUCGCAAGNUUAAACUUAAUUGAUGNGNGNGNGNGNGCGAGACGACGACGAGGAGAGG
rnacentral:rRNA from 1 species